rnacentral:rRNA from 1 species
GUUACGCUAAUACCGCAUAUUCUGUGAGCAGGAAAGCAGGGGAUCGCAAGACCUUGCGCUGAUUGAGCGGCCGAUAUCAGAUUAGCCAGUUGGUGAGGUAAAAGGCUCACCAAGGCGACGAUCUGUAGCGGGUCUGAGAGGAUGAUCCGCCACACUGGAACUGAGACACGGUCCAGACUCCUACGGGAGGCAGCAGUGGGGAAUUUUGGACAAUGGGGGCAACCCUGAUCCAGCCAUGCCGCGUGAGUGAAGAAGGCCUUCGGGUUGUAAAGCUCUUUCGGCCGGGAAGAAAUCGUAUGGGUUAAUACCCUGUGCGGAUGACGGUACCGGCAUAAGAAGCACCGGCUAACUACGUGCCAGCAGCCGCGGUAAUACGUAGGGUGCGAGCGUUAAUCGGAAUUACUGGGCGUAAAGCGUGCGCAGGCGGUUUUGUAAGACAGGCGUGAAAUCCCCGGGCUCAACCUGGGAACUGCGCUUGUGACUGCAAGGCUAGAGUAUGGCAGAGGGGGGUGGAAUUCCACGUGUAGCAGUGAAAUGCGUAGAGAUGUGGAGGAACACCAAUGGCGAAGGCAGCCCCCUGGGCCAAUACUGACGCUCAUGCACGAAAGCGUGGGUAGCAAACAGGAUUAGAUACCCUGCUAGUCCACGCCCUAAACGAUGUCAACUAGGUGUUGGGUGGGUAAAACCAUUUAGUACCGGAGCUAACGCGUGAAGUUGACCGCCUGGGGAGUACGGCCGCAAGGUUAAAACUCAAAGGAAUUGACGGGGACCCGCACAAGCGGUGGAUGAUGUGGAUUAAUUCGAUGCAACGCGAAAAACCUUACCUACCCUUGACAUGUCCAGGAGCCUGAAGAGAUUUGGGUGUGCCCGAAAGGGAACUGGAACACAGGUGCUGCAUGGCUGUCGUCAGCUCGUGUCGUGAGAUGUUGGGUUAAGUCCCGCAACGAGCGCAACCCUUGUCGUUAAUUGCCAUCAUUUAGUUGGGCACUUUAACGAGACUGCCGGUGACAAACCGGAGGAAGGUGGGGAUGACGUCAAGUCCUCAUGGCCCUUAUGGGUAGGGCUUCACACGUCAUACAAUGGUCGGUACAAAGGGUUGCCAACCCGCGAGGGGGAGCCAAUCCCAGAAAGCCGAUCGUAGUCCGGAUUGCAGGCUGCAACUCGCCUGCAUGAAGUCGGAAUCGCUAGUAAUCGUGGAUCAGCAUGUCACGGUGAAUACGUUCCCGGGUCUUGUACACACCGCCCGUCACACCAUGGGAGCGGGUUCCGCCAGAAGUAGGUAGCCUAACCGCAAGGGGGGCGCUUACCACGGCGGGGUUCGUGACUGGGGUGAAGUCGGAACAAGGUA